UUAGCAAUGGGCGCAGCCUGAUCAGCCAUGCCGCGUGAGUGAUGAAGGCCUUAGGGUUGUAAAGCUCUUUCACCACGGAAGAUAAUGACGGUACCUGGCCAAGAAGCUCGGGCUAACUCUGUGCCAGCAGGCGCGGUAAUACUACGUGCC
rnacentral:rRNA from 1 species